rnacentral:lncRNA from 1 species
UAAUUUAGAGAUUGGUGACCUUCUGGGAAGUUUUCCCGAAAAAUGUACGAGUGAGGACAAAGCAUAUUUUCACGAUUCAUCCGCCUCUCUUUCUCUCUGCUUACUAAUUAUCUGUUAGGGUUUCCUUCUUACUAUCUCCCGUGCCCUCUCUUCCUAGGUUCCCUUAAUAUACUACUCACAACCCACUUAACCCUAAUCUCUCCAAAAGACCGAAAAAAUCUCUCUUCAUUACUUUAGAUAUCACACAUUAAAACCUGACCAAAAAUUCCCCUUUUAAUUUUCAAUAUUGUUUCCUAAAAUAACAUGAGCGUUUAUGAUUAUGAGUUAAUGUACUAUUCUUAUUUUUAUUUCCUUUUCUAACAGAAUUUGGAUAUUCCAAAGCCAUGCAUGAGAAUUGCGCAUAGUAUUUUUUAGAGAGAAAGAAAAUUUGGAUAGUGAAAGAGAGUGGUAGGUUACGUCCAGGGGAGGUUUUCCUAGUUGUUUUUUUAUAUAUAUGUAUAUAUAUACUUGGAGAGCGUGAGAGGAAUUUGUGAACAUUUAAUAGCGUGGGACCAUGGUGGUUGAAUAAGGAUGUCCAUUUCUUUAUUUGAAGUUUGAAUGUUUUAAAUUUUUUGGUUACAGAGGGGAAACUUUCGUUACUUUAGAAUUCACAGUUUUUUUUUAUUGGUAGAUUAUUUUUUUAGGAUUAGUUUGGGGAUCCACGUGUGUACAGCGUUUGCGUUGGGUUAUAAAUUUUUGGACGUUGCCUUUAGAUAUUUUAAGUAUGGGUUAAAUGUUAAUGUCUUCGUCUGUGGUAUUUUUUUUUUUUUUUAGAUUCUAGGUGUUUAACUUACAACCUUAGAUCACUUUCUGCUCUGCUUCAGUUCCUUUACAUAUAAAUCCAGAUGUGAGAGUACGGCCGCGACUUGAAUUCAUUAAGCUUACUUUCUUUAUUAAAUAGAGGGCUUGCGCAGGAUGUGAUUGAGCUUCUAGCAGUUUUAGAGUAUGGUGUGAUUUAAUACUGAAUCAGUGUUGAU